UGAGGAAUAUUGGUCAAUGGGUGCAAGCCUGAACCAGCCAUCCCGCGUGAAGGACGACUGCCCUAUGGGUUGUAAACUUCUUUUGUAUAGGGAUAAACCUACCCUCGUGAGGGUAGCUGAAGGUACUAUACGAAUAAGCACCGGCUAACUCCGUGCCAGCAGCCGCGGUAAUACGGAGGGUGCAAGCGUUAUCCGGAUUUAUUGGGUUUAAAGGGUGCGUAGGCGGCGAUAUAAGUCAGUGGUGAAAUAUUUCGGCUUAACCGAGAUACUGCCAUUGAUAGUGGGUUGGUAGAAGAUGGUUGCUNUGAGUGGAAUGUGGGGUUUAGCGGUGAAAGGCUUAGAUAUCACACAGAAUAUCGAUUGCGAAGGCAGCUCACAAAGCCAUUAUUGACGCUGAGGCACGAAAGUGUGGG
rnacentral:rRNA from 1 species